rnacentral:rRNA from 1 species
UGGGAACGUACCCUUUGGUUCGGAACAACCCAGGGAAACUUGGGCUAAUACCGGAUAAGUCCGUAAGGAGAAAGAUUUAUCGCCAUUGGAUGGGCCCGCGUCGGAUUAGCUAGUUGGUGAGGUAACGGCUCACCAAGGCUACGAUCGGUAGCUGGUCUGAGAGGACGACCAGCCACACUGGAACUGAGACACGGUCCAGACUCCUACGGGAGGCAG